rnacentral:tRNA from 1 species
GGGCGAUUAGCUCAGUUGGNNCAUCUGAUUUACAUUCAGAGGGUCCAGGGUUCAAGUCCUUGAUCGCCCA